rnacentral:lncRNA from 1 species
CUUUAUCUUCGAAGACACUGGAAGGCCUGACGCAGGGGAACGCGACCAGAUUCAGGUAUAUACCCAAGAGAAUGGAAAAUAUACAUCCACACAAACAAAAACCUGUACAUCAAUGUUCACAGCAGCUCUAUUCACAAUAGCCAAAAGACGGAAACAAAUAAAAAUGUGGUCUAUCCAUACAAUGGGGUAUUAUCCAGCCAUAGGAAGGAAUGAAGUACUUCAGGAGCUCAAGACCAGCCUGGGCAACAUAGCAAGAGCUGUCGCUACUAAAAAUUUUAGCCCAAUAUGGUGGAGUGUGCCUGUAGUCCCAGCUAUUUGGGAGGUAGGAGGAUCACUUGAACCCAGGAGAUGGAGGCUGCAGUGAACUAGGAUCGCACCACUGCACUCCAGCCUGAAUGACAGAAUAAGAUCCUCUUGAAAAAACAAGCAACAAACCAGGCGCGGUGGCUCACACCUGUAAUCCCGGCACUUUGGGAGGCGGAGGCAGGUGGAUCACGAGGUCAAGAGCUCGAGACCAUCCUGGCCAACAUGGUGAAACCCCGUCUCUACUAAAAAUACAAAAAUUAGCUGGGUGUGGUGGCAUGUGCCUAUAGUCCCGGCUACUCGGGAGGCUGAAGCAGAAGAAUCGCUUGAACCUGGGAGGCAGAGGUUGCAGUGAGCCGAGAUUGCGCCACUGCAGUCCAGCCUGGUAACAGAGCGAGACUCCGUCUCAAACAAACAAAAGCAGCAAAAGAGAUAAAUGUCCAGAACGGGCAAAUCCAGAGACAGAAAGUGGAUUCGUGGGGCUUGGAGCUGGGGAACUGGGAGAAAUAGGGGCAGACUGCUGAUGGGUACAGGGUAUCUUUUUAGAGCUAUAAAAAUGCUCUGGAAUCAGGUCAUGGUAACGGUUGCACAACUGUGAUACACUAAAAGCAACUGUAUACCUUAAAAUGGGGAAUUUUAUGGUGUGCUAAUUACAUAACAUUUUUUAAGAAGAAUUGCCUAAUUACAACUGUGGAUGCUCUGCUGUGGUUGUGGAGUGCAAUGAGGAGGCAGGGACGUCCCUGAGGAGGCUGCCCUGGCGCCUGAGACACUGGUGGGAAUGACAGCUUCCGCUUUCAUCUCAGAAUUGCUAGCCCAUGUGCGGUGGGAUUUUAGGAAAGCUGGAGGUCAGUACUUUCGAGUGGGAAAUAGCCCAAUUCUACAUGUUAGUGAGGAGUUCAAGUCCUCCUCAAUCACCGGGCGGGUCAAGCGAAACGUGUCUGCAGGCUGCCCUGGCUCAUGGCCCUGCCUUGGGCUCCUGGGGAGGAACAUAGAGUGAGAAGGGCCGGGCUGCCAUCUCGGCUCUGGGGCAGGUGGGGAGAGGUUGCUGCUUGGGCUUUGAGAGCAGCCAGGGAGGUAAGUAAACCCAGUGAGGAGAGGCCUCCUUAAAGCAGACAGCAGUGCUGGGAAGGCAGGUCGGCCACCAGGCCACGUCCCGGGACAGCACACUGGCCACCUGGGUGUCCUUCCCCAAGUGCAUUCCACAACACAAUCUGGGUGCAAGGAACAUUUUAUUCCAUAACUGUCUCCACCGAAGCCGCAGAAGCAAAGCCAGGAGCAGAAUC